GCCUUUAUAGUUUAAAGGUAGAACGGAAUACUGUUAAUAUUCUCGUAGAUGUUCAAUUCAUCUUAAAGGCU
rnacentral:tRNA from 5 species